rnacentral:rRNA from 1 species
CCUACGGGAGGCAGCAGUGAGGAAUAUUGGUCAAUGGGCGGGAGCCUGAACCAGCCAAGUCGCGUGAGGGAAGACGGUCCUAUGGAUUGUAAACCUCUUUAGGCGGGGAGCAAUGCCGGGCACGCGUGCCCGGAGGGAGAGUACCCGCAGAAUAAGCAUCGGCUAACUCCGUGCCAGCAGCCGCGGUAUUACGGAGGAUGCGAGCGUUAUCCGGAUUUAUGGGGUUAAAGGGGUGCGUAGGCGGAUUUUUAAGUCAGGGGUAAAAGGUCCGGGCUCAACCCGGGCCGGCCGUUGAAACUGGGGGUCUUGAGUGGGAGAGAAGUACGCGGAAUGCGCGGUGUAGCGGUGAAAUGCAUAGAUAUCGCGCAGAACUCCGAUUGCGAAGGCAGCGUACCGGCGCCGGACUGACGCUGAGGCACGAAAGCGUGGGUAUCGAACAGGAUUAGAUACCCCGGUAGUC